UGCCACCCACAUGGGGAUAAUCAAUCCUACUU
rnacentral:piRNA from 1 species